rnacentral:rRNA from 1 species
GAGUUUGAUUCUGGCUCAGGAGGAACGCUGGCGGCGUGCCUAACACAUGCAAGUCGAGCGAGAAAUAGUCAGACGGAGAUUUCGGUUGAAGGAUGGUUAUGGAAAGCGGCGGACGGGUGAGUAACGCGUAGGCAACCUGCCUCAUGCAGAGGGAUAGCCUCGGGAAACCGGGAUUAAAACCUCAUAAGGCCAAGGGGACACAUGUUUUCGUGGUCAAAGAUUUAUCGGCAUGAGAUGGGCCUGCGUCUGAUUAGCUGGUUGGUGAGGUAACGGCUCACCAAGGCGACGAUCAGUAGCCGACCUGAGAGGGUAAACGGCCACAUUGGAACUGAGACACGGUCCAGACUCCUACGGGAGGCAGCAGUGGGGAAUAUUGCACAAUGGGCGAAAGCCUGAUGCAGCAACGCCGCGUGAGCGAUGAAGGCUUUCGAGUCGUAAAGCUCUGUCCUAUGGGAAGAUGA